CCCUGGUUAGAUCAGUUGGUGGAGCGCUCCACUGGAAAUGGAGAGGUCCCGGGUUCGAUACCCGGACCAGGCG
rnacentral:tRNA from 1 species